GAUUCAUAGAAGCUGAAAACUGCAAGAGAUCUCAGAUGCUAUGACCCCUGCAUAACAGAGGGAGAAAUUGAAUCCGAGAGAAGUGGCCGCUUUGUCUAAAAGCAAACAGCUAUUAGCAGCAGAGGUGAAAACAACACCCAGGGGCUGACCCCUCACUCAGUGACUUCUCUCUGCCAGGGCAACCUCAGUCUAAUUGAAGUCCUGGCAAUACGGACCUACUGCAGAAGAAGCCGUACACUGUCACCGACCGAACCACAGCUCCUGACACACAUACUGACACUGAUUUCCCCAAGCAACAAUGUUGAAUGCCUCAUAGAGUGACACUUGUGAAUUUUGUAUGCUGGGAAAAGAAGCAAGAAAGGGCAGAAGUUCAAGAUUCUCCCAUUCAAAAAUGUACUUGAACAUUGACACCAAGAGGAGUCUUUGAUUUCUGGGCUGAAGACCAAGGACAUUUCAAAUGCCUAAGUCAAUAAAUGUCACUAGAAUAAAGGAACGGGAGGCACAGGGCAUGUGUCCCCUGAACAUCCUGCUGACUGUACUCACGGUGAUGAAGCGUGCCCAUCUGAACUUCU